CAGUUGAAAUUUAUUUUCUUCUCAUCAAUUUCUAGAAGCACAGGAAGCACCAUACAGUACUGAGGGCCUGUACUUAUAUUUACUUACUAUCAAGGCAAUAAUAUGGGUCUCUGAAUUCGAGCACCCUUAAAGGUUUUGAAAUGUAUUCAAGAGGAUGAAGGUCGAUAUGUUUAUGCCAUCCUCUCCAGCUUUUAGAGGAACUGCACGAGUCAAUCUGUCAGACCACUUUAAUCAGGUGCUCAAUUGGGGCCCUUGUUCUGUUGAUAUACUUCUCUGCAGAUAUUGCCCAAUCUGGUAUGGGUAUGGAGGCAAGCUUAGAUUACUACAAAAUAAGUAAAUAUGGAAGCAUCUGGCUUUUGCUUACCUUCUCCUCCAUCUUUUGCCUCUUGGGUUCUUGAAAUGAGGUGGAGUGGUGUAGGGGCCAUGGAUUGGUGAACAAAACAGCAGUUUUGGGUGAUCAGUGGGGUUUCGUCGCACUUAGUGGCAAUUAAUGCGGGCCAGUACAAUUUUGCUAGGUAAUAAGACUGGUCUGACUGUGAUAACUGAUAAAUCUGUCAAGGGUGUUUCUGUUGAAGUCUAAGUUUGAUCAGAGGGACCUGGAGACACUAGGCAGCUGUGAGAACCUGGAGAAUUGGGAAUGCAAGUUGCUAGUGGACUGGACUGUGAAGCUGGGCAGAUAUGCAGUAACAAGCUCUGUCUGUGCUGCAUAUGUUUUUAUGUGAAUGUUUGUAGUACUUUUAUUAUGCUUUACUGUUAACUUGAUGUAAGUUUGUAUUAAGUGUAUGGAUGUUCUGGUUGUGCUAAUUGUGCUGCUCUACUGGCAUGCACAUCAGAUGUUUGUAUAAUUGCCCAGUUCAUCAACGAAUGAAUGAAGUCAGUUUUUUUAGCUGUUAUUUUCUAUCUCUUCUUCUUCUAAUACAACUCAGAAGCUGUUACAGUUGUGUGUCUGAGUGUUUGUUCAUUGAAUACAAGUCUUGCUCUUGAUCCUAUCAGUUUCCAGGAGCUGCAUGCGUUCUGCUGGGCUUCUCUUUUCAUCAUUGCGAUGUCUAUACUUCUCAUUAACAUGUUUUCUAUGAUUGCUGGGAUUUCUUCGAUUUCUUCAGCCUUCACUAAUGGCAAUGGAUCUUGGGGGCCGUUUUUGCAAAGUUAUUCUUCUCAUCCUGGGUGAUCAUUCCUAUCUACCCAUUCGAUUUGCCAGAAUCGAGUUCCAACAGUUGUUGUCUGGUCAUCGCUUCUGGCACCCAUAUAAACCCAUUUUUCACAAGAUUUGAAGGACAAAAGAUUAUGGUGUGUGGCAUCUAUUGUUGAUCAAACAAUUCAAACCUCUUGCAGUCUGUCUGUCUGCCUCUCUCCCCUCUCUACUUUCUGACUUAUCAUUAAUGUUUGGUAAGUGAUAGUGUUUGAUUCACUGACCACCUGAAAGGUCAAGGACUUCGUAAAGGAAGGCAAAUUGUAUGGCAUACUCUUGUCUAAUUAAGGAAAUUGUUAAUCCCGAAUGUACUUGAAUUUA